UACAGAGGUCUCAAGCGUUGUUCGGAUUCAUUGGGCGUAAAGGGCGCGUAGGCUGCGGGGCAAGUCGGGUAUGAAAUCUCAGAGCUCAACUCUGAAACUGCACUCGAUACUGCUUUGCUCGAGGACUGGAGAGGAGAUUGGAAUUCACGGUGUAGCAGUGAAAUGCGUAGAUAUCGUGAGGAAGACCAGUGGCGAAGGCGGAUCUCUGGACAGUUCCUGACGCUGAGGCGCGAAGGCCAGGGGGAGCAAAACGGGGAUUUAGAAAACCCC
rnacentral:rRNA from 1 species